UACGUAGGGAGCAAGCGUUGUCCGGAAUCAUUGGGCGUAAAGCGCGCGUAGGUGGCCAUGUAAGUCCGCUGUGAAAGUCAAAGGCUCAACCUUUGAAAGCCGGUGGAUACUGCAUGGCUAGAGUACGGAAGAGGCAAGUGGAAUUCCUGGUGUAGCGGUGGAAUGCGCAGAUAUCAGGAGGAACACCAAUAGCGAAGGCAGCUCGCUGGGACGUUACUGACACUGAGGCGCGAAAGCGUGGGGAGCAAACAGG
rnacentral:rRNA from 1 species